AGGAGAUCAGCCUUGGAUUCCCAAGUCCUCCCAUUCAGUGGUCAGCACUGAACAGGUCACUCACCAUGGAUUUAGGGCUCAUAUUGGUUUUCUUUGUCCUUAUUUUAAAAGGUGUCCACUGUGAGGUGCAAUUGCUGGAGUCUGGAGGAGACAUAGUGCAGCCUGGAAAGUCCCUGAAACUCUUCUGUGCAGCCUCUGGAUUCACCUUCAGUAGUCAUGCAAUGGCCUGGGUCCGCCAGGCUCCCGAGAAGGGGCUGGAGUGGGUGGCAACCAUUAUUUACGAUGGUAGUGUCACCUACUAUACCGAUGCAGUGAAGGGCCGGUUCACAAUCUCCAGAGACAAUGCCAAGAACACUCUGUACCUGGAAAUGAGCAGUCUGAGGUCAGAGGACACAGCCAUGUAUUACUGUACAAGAGACACAGUGAGUGAAUGUUACUGUGGACUCAGACAAAAACAUCCCUGUGGGGGAACACAGGGCCAGCAGGGGGCUCUGAGAGCACUUAGAAAUCUGGGUCACAGAAGAGCCUGCUCAGAGAAACAUGAAAGACUGGACUUAUUUGUGUCUGCACUAUCUCUCCAUAUCUCACUUAGGGUUUUUCUCUACAAAUAUAGUGAGUAUUAA